rnacentral:snRNA from 1 species
ACUCCUACCGAUAGCCUACAGACUAUGAUCACAUGCUGUAUCUUUUCUUACCAGUUUAAUAUUUGAUAUGUCUUCAGCUUGAGGACUUUAUAUUAUUCCAUUGAUUUUAUACUAAAUUAAUUUAAAUGGACUUUGUAUUACACUGGGAGAUGGACUAGAAGCUUGUUUUAUCCACUUCACUCACUGACCUGGCAUUGUGCUGCCUCCAUGAAAGCAGAGACACAGCA